ACAGCCACCGCCCGUCCCAGCUGAUGGGGCUGCACGGCGGUCACAAUGAGCGUCUGGAGAACCCGCUGGCAGAGCGGCCUUCCCGCGAGACUUCUGCAUCUCGUACCCGCAAACUGUGUGCCGCCCACAUUUCGCAGCAGCGGACGUGGGAGCAGCGUGCAGACUGAGACUCACAGGUUUUCCCUACAUGCCUGGGAUGCGGCGGUAACACGACCGACCAGGCUUCCGGAGGGCUGGGUUCUGUUUGGAGAGCUCUCCAGACACGGGUACUCACCAGGAAGCUCCUUCUGGCUCAGCUUUCCUGUAAACAGACAUGAGGGAGGAAAUCAACGGGCUCAGGGAGGU